GGGGUCCCAAAUGCUGACCUUGACCUCAGUAGGACCCUGCCUGCCAGGACAGCUCGAAAACCUGAGAGCCCCGAACUCAUGCAUCCAGAGCCCAUGGGCACGGCUUCCGGGGAGGCCCCUGUUCGCUCCCUUUGGCUCAGCGAAACCAGGCACGUCAUUUCUCAGAGCCGAAGCCUGAAGAGGGACCCACACCCGCUACACCUGUGGGUCCCCCUUCAUGUCACCUCCGUGGCUUGGCACGAGGGUAGCACGGUGAAGGACCUGUGGCAGGCAGCAGCCUGGCUCCACAGUGCCUCUCCAGAUCGGCAGCAGCAGCUGGAUGGAGCCCUCGGGCCCCCUCCCCAGCUUGGUCUUUGGGACUGACUCCAGGCCCGGUGACCUAGCCUACCCACUUCUUGCUUCGGCUGAAAUGGACUCCAGGACAGCUGACGGCUGGCCACCCUCUGCCGGGUCCGGACCUCUGCCUUCGUGGCGGCUCUGCUCAGGACAGCCCCAGCGCGCAGCAGGCCCGGGGCGGGUGCGGGCUCACACUUCCCCAGCCAGGACUCCAGCAACGUUUCAGGCGGCACAUGCUUUCCUUUCUGGGGAUGGGGCUUUUUCCCCGUCUGUGAUCUAGAAAGUUCCCAUAAUUCAGCUAGUGUGUCUCAUGACGUCUCAUGUGGGCUAAGGGGAGGCACUCUUCUGGUCUCAAAGAGUUAUUAGCUUUUAGAAAACGAUCUUCUCCUUCACUGCUUCACUCCAAAGAGAAGGCUCUUUUCACUCAGUUUCUUGACUUGAACCCUGUUUUGCCCUCUGGCCUCGUAGCCGGCAGGCGGCCGUCACACCAGGGCUCUGCAGGUCUCCCGCGCCGGUGAUGGAUGGUUCUCCUGCAGCUUUGGAGACAUCCUCCACCCCAGACCCAUCAGGCCAGGCGCCGCCGCUGUCCCUGCUCACCAACACGUUGCAUGAAGGGCCCUCACGUCUCUGACGGAGCUGAAAUGAAAAGUAUCUGCAGAGCCCAAGAGUGCCAGGGAGCCGCAGUGGCAGUACCUUGGGGCGGGGUAGAGUCUAGGGAGCAGGAAGGUGUCUAGGGGGUGGGGCGGAGUCUAGGGGGCGGGGCGGAGUCUAGGGAGCUGGAAAAAGUCUAGGGGGCCAGGGCGGAGUCUAAGGAGUGGGGCGGAGUCUAGGGGGCAGG